UAUUUCCUGUACCCUAUUUCCUCCCUCGCCGAAACCUUUCCUCAUCUCGCGACGCCGCCUUAACUUUGCCGAUCCUCUUCCUCUGUCAUCUCUACCGUCGCUGAGUGCAGUCGUCGGUGAGUGCAGUCGUCGCCGAGUGUAGCCGUCACCAGAAGGAAGGCCCAACACUAGCCCCCGCGUCUCUUCCCUAGAGCGUCGACUGCCUCCUCUGUGCCCUACCUUUUGACCCAUCGCCGAUCACCAGCAAGAUCGCCCCAACCGACUAGCCACCUCGCUGGUGUGGAUUUCCCCAAUCGCGGUGAAUUCUCUCCUCAUCUCCUCUUCGAUCUUGCCUCUCCCAAUCUGGUCGCUGUCGCCCUGACGCCUCCUUCCUAUUCUUGGCUGUGGACAUAAAGCAUCUGUUAGGAGUCCAGCACCCGAUUUCACCUCUCCAAGCGAGUCCUAGCCAUCGAUUCAUCAUCAUCUGAUUGUGUUGGAUCCUUGCUCGAGGUCACCUCUCGAUCUCUCCUCCCUUCUCUCGGUCCUAAUUGUGUUGAUCACAGGCUGCUAGGCAUUAACGCCGAUGACCACAGAGGGUCAGAUAUCACCGCUUCGCUGUCUUCCUCCUCACCCGCAUCGUCGCUACCUUGAUGCAUUGUUCGAUCUUGAUUUACUUGCUGUCGGCCACUGUGAGCAGCCACCAGAAGAGUUGUAUGGACGUUGUUUCGAAAUGAGCACUUCGACAUGGGGAUUGUUUAGCACGAUCUUCUUUUGAGGUAGCAGAUAGAUGAAUCAAGGAUGCUUGGAGAGUCCUGACUGCCAGUCCCAUGUUACAUCCGAGGACAACUUUCUUUUCGGUCUUAUUUCUGUUUGGGUGGUAUAUUGAUUUUGCGUAUUUACUUUCUAACUAGUUGAUGUGGAUUUUGGAGUCUAGUAUGGUGAUGUCAGGUAUUUUGGGGUAAUUGCUUUGUUGAUUUUACAUUCGUAUAUUUUUUUUUUGUGAUUUCCACUGUGUUUACCUUCAGUCAUGUAGGCUGCUUAUAAAUUGAGUGGUUGUGUUUA